UACGUAGGUGGCAAGCGUUAUCCGGAAUUAUUGGGCGUAAAGCGCGCGCAGGUGGUUUCUUAAGUCUGAUGUGAAAGCCCACGGCUCAACCGUGGAGGGUCAUUGGAAACUGGGAGACUUGAGUGCAGAAGAGGAAAGUGGAAUUCCAUGUGUAGCGGUGAAAUGCGUAGAGAUAUGGAGGAACACCAGUGGCGAAGGCGACUUCUGGUCUGUAACUGACACUGAGGCGCGAAAGCGUGGGGAGCGAACAGG
rnacentral:rRNA from 1 species